UUAAGCAUAUCAAUAAGCGGAGGAAAAGAAACCAACAGGGAUUGCCUCAGUAACGGCGAGUGAAGCGGCAACAGCUCAAAUUUGAAAUCUGGCCCCAGGCCCGAGUUGUAAUUUGCAGAGGAUGCUUCUGGCGAGGUGCCUUCCGAGUUCCCUGGAACGGGACGCCAUAGAGGGUGAGAGCCCCGUCUGGUCGGACACCGAGCCUCUGUGAAGCUCCUUCGACGAGUCGAGUAGUUUGGGAAUGCUGCUCUAAAUGGGAGGUAUAUGUCUUCUAAAGCUAAAUACCGGCCAGAGACCGAUAGCGCACAAGUAGAGUGAUCGAAAGAUGAAAAGCACUUUGGAAAGAGAGUUAAACAGCACGUGAAAUUGUUGAAAGGGAAGCGUUCACGACCAGACUUGGGCCCGGUUGAUCAUCCAGCGUUCUCAGCUGGUGCACUCUGCCGGCCCAGGCCAGCAUCAGUUCGCGCCGGGGGACAAAGGCGGCGGGAAUGUAGCUCCCCCGGGAGUGUUAUAGCCCGCCGCGCAAUACCCUGGGGCGGACUGAGGUUCGCGCAUCUGCAAGGAUGCUGGCGUAAUGGUCGUCAACGACCCGUCUUGAAACACGGACCAAGGAGUCGUCUUCGUAUGCGAGUGUUCGGGUGUCAAACCCCUACGCGUAAUGAAAGUGAACGCAGGUGAGAGCUUCGGCGCAUCAUCGACCGAUCCUGAUGUUCUCGGAUGGAUUUGAGUAAGAGCAUACGGGGCCGGACCCGAAAGAAGGUGAACUAUGCCUGUAUAGGGUGAAGCCAGAGGAAACUCUGGUGGAGGCUCGCAGCGGUUCUGACGUGCAAAUCGAUCGUCAAAUAUGGGCAUGGGGGCGAAAGACUAAUCGAACCUUCUAGUAGCUGGUUUCC
rnacentral:rRNA from 1 species